GUCUAUGGCCAUGCCUCUCUGAAUUUGCCUGAUCUUGUCUGAUUUUGGAAGCUCAGCAGGGAUGGGCCUGGUUCGGCCUUGGAUG
rnacentral:rRNA from 1 species